rnacentral:rRNA from 1 species
CAACAUGUCUGUAUGAUAGUUAUAUAGAGUCUGGCCUGCCCAUUGGGAACUGAAAGGCCGCGGUAUUAUGACCGUGCGAAGGUAGCAUAAUCAUUAGUCUUUUAAUUGAGGGCUGGAAUGAAGGGUUGGACGAGAAAUAAGCUGUCUUUACCUUAAGAAUUGAAUUUAACUUUUAAGUGAGAGGGCUUAAAUGGAUUGAAGGGACGAUAAGACCCUAUAAAGUUUAUAUACCGAACUAAUUAAAGAUAAUUAAGAAGGGUAAAGUUUAUUAUUAGAGAGGUAUUUAGUUGGGGCGACUAGGAUAUAAAUUAAUUUAACUGUUUUAAAUUAAAGUCAAAAAUAUUUGAGUUUGUGAUCCUUUUUUAGGAUUAGAGAAUAAGUUACUUUAGGGAUAACAGCGUAAUUUUUUUUGAGAGUUCUUAUCGACAAAAGAGUUUGCGACCUCGAUGUUGAAUUAAAAGUUUCUUUGUAGUGCAGCAAUUACAAGAGAAGGUCUGUUCGACCUUUAAAUUUUUACAUGAUUUGAGUUCAGACCGGCGAAAGCCAG